CAAAUCACGCUGAAACACCGGUUCUCGUUCGAUCACCGAAGUUAAGCAUCGUAGAGCCAGGUCAGUACUUAGAUGGGGGACCGCUUGGGAACACCUGGUACUGUAAG